GAUGAACGCUGGCGGCGUGCCUAAUACAUGCAAGUCGAGCGAACAGAUGAGGAGCUUGCUCCUCUGACGUUAGCGGCGGACGGGUGAGUAACACGUGGAUAACCUACCUAUAAGACUGGGAUAACUUCGGGAAACCGGAGCUAAUACCGGAUAAUAUAUUGAACCGCAUGGUUCAAUAGUGAAAGACGGUUUUGCUGUCACUUAUAGAUGGAUCCGCGCCGCAUUAGCUAGUUGGUAAGGUAACGGCUUACCAAGGCAACGAUGCGUAGCCGACCUGAGAGGGUGAUCGGCCACACUGGAACUGAGACACGGUCCAGACUCCUACGGGAGGCAGCAGUAGGGAAUCUUCCGCAAUGGGCGAAAGCCUGACGGAGCAACGCCGCGUGAGUGAUGAAGGUCUUCGGAUCGUAAAACUCUGUUAUUGGGGAAGAACAAAUGUGUAAGUAAAUAUGCACGUCUUGACGGUACCUAAUCAGAAAGCAACGGCUAACUACGUG
rnacentral:rRNA from 1 species